rnacentral:tRNA from 1 species
CGGGGUGUGGCGCAGUUGGCUAGCGCGCUACGUUCGGGACGUAGAGGCCGAAGGUUCAAGUCCUUUCACCCCGA